rnacentral:lncRNA from 1 species
GGAGGACGAGCUGCGCCCCCCGGCUUUGGUUGAGGUCUAAAGUCCCAGUAGAGCAAGCAGACCAUGAAACGUCACAUCAUUUUGGUCGUAGCUAGUUUUCUAUCCCUGUGAUAAGCGAGGGCUAUGCAACGCUUGGUUACCUAUUUUACUUUUUAAUGGACAAAAGUUUCUGUGUAAUGCUGCUAUGUUAAUUUCGUUUAAACUAAGUUUUGCUGAAACGAGCUAUGUAUUGCCUGAAACCUUUGUUUGGAUUGAUUCUGGCCAGCUAGUGUGUUGCUGUUCCGUUUGUGCCACCUUUUUACUGUUCGAAGUGUUCUUAUGCGUAUAUUUCAU